AAAGCUAACGACUCCCUUAUAUGCACUUUUAUUUUGUAAAUAAACUUAAAACGGGAUUUA
rnacentral:tRNA from 1 species